rnacentral:lncRNA from 1 species
CCUAUAUCAUGUGAUUAACCUGAAGCUGGACAGAUUUGUACCUUUUCCUGGCCACAGGACUACCAGGUACCAGGUACCACCACACAGAGCUGCAGUGUAUACACAUAAAUAAAAAGAAAGGUUGUGCCAAAAUUCUUUGAUGGAACAGUUUGCAUUAUUUAAUGCCAGUUUCUCCAAAUCAGAAAGAACUGAACCAACUUAUGGGACAAUGAAAAGCAACUCAUCUUCAGGACAUCUUGAGAAAGGUGGAGAUGAAGGAUAUUGCCAUGCAAAAUGUCCCAGUGGAGAUCAUCUUCUUGUUUGGAGCUGCAGGCUGUGAGGAGUGGUGCAUGACCAGGUCCCUGUGCUGUUGCCUUUGCCUACCUCCAGGAAAGCGUCUGGCUGUUGCUGACAAGGGAGAGCUCCCCGCUGCAGGAGUGGCAAGCCCUAGAAAAGCUCUAAGCACCCUCUGGUACCAGGUUUGA